rnacentral:tRNA from 1 species
UCCCUGGUGGUCCAGUGGUUAAGACUCUGCCUUCCCAAUGCAGGGAGCCCAGGUUCAAUCCCUGGUCAGGGAA